rnacentral:rRNA from 1 species
UACAGAGGGUGCGAGCGUUAAUCGGAAUUACUGGGCGUAAAGCGUGCGCAGACGGUCACGUAAGUCGGGUGUGAAAGCCCCGGGCUCAACCUGGGAAUUGCAUUCGAGACUGCGUGGCUAGGGUGCGGAAGAGGGAAGCGGAAUUUCCGGUGUAGCGGUGAAAUGCGUAGAUAUCGGAAGGAACACCAGUGGCGAAAGCGGCUUCCUGGUCCAGCACCGACGUCAGGCACGAAAGCGUGGGGAGCAAACAG